UCGCAAUCUUCUUUGUCGAUUUGAACUCUCAAAAAAAAUUACGCUGUUAUCCCUAAGGUAACUUAUUCUUUUAAUCUAAAAUAUAGGAUCAAACAAUCAUUAAUCUAUGAUUCUUUAAAAAAAAGUUCAAUAAAUUUUUCUGUCACCCCAACAAAACAAACACCGCAACAAUAAAAUUUUUAUACCAAUAAUUUAUUAUUAGCAUAUUUGUAAAGCUCUAUAGGGUCUUCUUGUCUUCUAUAGUCAUUUAAGCUUUUUCACUUAAAAAUAAAAUUCUAAAAAAUUUUCUCUGAGACAGUAGGUUUUUCAUCAAUCCCUUCAUUCCAGCUUCUAAUUAAGAAACUAAUUAUUAUGCUACCUUUGCACGGUCAAUAUACCGCGGCCAUUAAAUCUAAUCAUUGGGCAGGAGCGACCUUAAAUUAUAAUCAAAAGGCC
rnacentral:rRNA from 1 species